rnacentral:tRNA from 1 species
GCCAACUUGAUGGAAUAGGUAGACAUACUGGUUUUAGAAACCAGAGGGGAAACCCAUCCCGGUUCGACUCCGGGAGUUGGUACCA